UUACACUAUGGGAAUGGUGAGAAGAGAUAUAUUUUGCAUCCCAUAGGGGUUAUAGUUGGAGAUACUAUUGUUUCUGGUACAAAAGUUCCUAUAUCAAUGGGAAACGCCCUACCUUUGAGUGCGGUUUUAACUAUUGAUUUAUGCAACUGGAAGUAA
rnacentral:rRNA from 1 species